rnacentral:rRNA from 1 species
UACGAAGGGGGCUAGCGUUGCUCGGAAUCACUGGGCGUAAAGGGUGCGUAGGCGGGUCUUUAAGUCAGGGGUGAAAUCCUGGAGCUCAACUCCAGAACUGCCUUUGAUACUGAAGAUCUUGAGUUCGGGAGAGGUGAGUGGAACUGCGAGUGUAGAGGUGAAAUUCGUAGAUAUUCGCAAGAACACCAGUGGCGAAGGCGGCUCACUGGCCCGAUACUGACGCUGAGGCACGAAAGCGUGGGGAGCAAACAGGGAUUAAGA